GGCCCUGUAGCUCAGCGGAUAGAGCGACUGCCUUGUAAGCAGUAGGCCGGAUUUUCGAAUAAUCCCAGGGCCACCA
rnacentral:tRNA from 2 species